CGCCAGGGACCAGGCAUCCAGCCACACCACCAGCCAUGGAGUAAGAAGGAAAGAAAGGGCUGGUGAUGUAGCUCAGAGAUAGAAAGCUUGUCUUGUUGAGCAAACACAAGGCCCUGGGUUCCACCUUCAGCACUGAAGACAACAAAGCAGCAAUAGCAGCAACUAAAUAUCAGAAGAGCUGGGUGGCAUAUGGUUUAAUCACAGCACUCAUAAUCUGGAGAGGCAGACUUGGCAAUUGCUUGAGAACCUUUGAGCUAGUGACUGUUAAUGGUGAAGGAGGCGGAAGAGGAUUCUGCCUUCUGCUUUGUUAACCCAAGCUCAUUGACACAGAAAACAUUUGAGGAAUCCAGUCACCAUGAAGGCAGAAUAAUAAUUUCUGUUUUUGGAGUUGCUGUUUGCACAGAGAUCGGUACAUCCAGAUACACGCUGGGCCUCUACCAUUCAAGAAAGCAAAGAAAUGAAUCCAAGUUUCCACGAUGAAACACCUCUAAGUCAUGAGAGGUGUUAAUGAAGAGCUCUUUGGGGCAAGAAGUUGGCCCUGGGAUACAUAGAAACCCUGAAAAAUCCUGGCUGGGUACUCAGUGGGCUAAAAUUGGGCUUGACUGUGUCAAGAAGGAUAAUAAAGCAAGU
rnacentral:lncRNA from 1 species